ensembl:miRNA MIR9827 microRNA mir-9827
UCAAAGUCCUGGUGAGAACUCAGAUUGUUGGCUUUAUAAGCGCAGUAGUCCUUCCACUAUCUGAAUAUGUUUUCAUUUAAUUGGAUGUAGC